UGAAUCUUUGAGAGCUUCUUCAAUAGACUUAGGAAUCUGUACACUGUCAAUGGCUGAAACAAAUGCAUGAUAGGUUGGUGAUAACCCUUCAUAUGAAACAAAUUUGCUGAUGGGAUGACUUGUGCAUGAUCUAACACCCUUUCUCAAAGCAAUUGGAAUAUUUGAAUCAUUAAUAACAGAGGCAGUAUUCUCACAGUCAGAAGUUUCCAUACCUGAGUAUAUUGGGGCAGAAUCUGGACUUGGUUCUGAAUCUUGGUCAUGUGCAAGAGGUAUUGUGUGCUCUAUCUCCUUUCCAAGUUUUUUUCUUCUAGAAUAAGUAAGAAGCUCAAGAUUUGUGAUCUGUUUUGGUGUAGGAUGAAUCUGGUCAGGAGAUUGGACUGAGGCUGGUGGUGCUGGGACUGAUUGGAUUGAGGCUGGAGGUGUAGUGUAAGGACUCAAAUGACUUUGGACAAGACUCUGUUGGUUGUCUCCUGAGUUAAUUACAUGAUCAGAUUGUAUAUCCCAAUUCUGAUAUUCUCUCAUGGUUGCCCCCUGAAGAUCAGAUUUGGGAUAGUAUGCUUGGUGUUCAAAAAAUGUGACAUCCAUAGAGGUAUAGACCUUUUUUAGAACAGGAGAGUAACAUUUAUAACCCUUUUGGUGUGGAGAGUAUCCUAUAAAAAUGCACUUGAGAGAGG
rnacentral:lncRNA from 1 species